GUACCGCUUCGGCGGUACAUAUACUAAAAUUGGAACGAUACAGAGAAGAUUAGCAUGGCCAUGACACGCGAAAUCGUGAAGCGUUCCAUAUUUUU
rnacentral:snRNA from 1 species